rnacentral:misc_RNA from 1 species
GGUUUCCUUUGCCUGAGGACAUCACUUCUUUAAUGCUUCUUCUAAUAUAGAUUCCUUAGUUUUUGUUUUCAAUUGAAGAUUUUAACCUGUGGUUUUUGAAUGUUCACUUGAUUAUAUGUGUUAUAUUACUUUCAGUUUUUUGUUUGCUGAUGCAAAAUAUACAUUUGGAGCAUAAAAUUGAUUGUUAUGGCAUGGUGGUGGGAACAGAGAACUAAUAGAUAAUCGGACCUCAUUAUUGGCACAUAUCACUUAAAGUAGUCCUGAUAAUGCAUUUCUAUAUUAUUUUCAAUUACACACAUAAGCACACAGAUAAAAGGGUUGAGUUUAACUCCGAAUAUAGUCUUAACUUUGCAGAUCAUGAUCUUCAAGAUAGUGCAGUUUAUUUUAAUACCUGCUAUAUU